rnacentral:rRNA from 1 species
UACGGAGGGAGCUAGCGUUGCUCGGAAUUACUGGGCGUAAAGCGCACGUAGGCGGCUUUGUAAGUUAGAGGUGAAAGCCUGGGGCUCAACCCCAGAAUUGCCUUUAAGACUGCAUCGCUUGAAUCCAGGAGAGGUGAGUGGAAUUCCGAGUGUAGAGGUGAAAUUCGUAGAUAUUCGGAAGAACACCAGUGGCGAAGGCGGCUCACUGGACUGGUAUUGACGCUGAGGUGCGAAAGCGUGGGGAGCAAACAGG